GUCUGCAUACAAAACAGAAGAAACCAUUCAAGAAAGUUGAUUCAAGCUUUAGGAGAAUACCUCCAAGCAGAUGGAAUCCUAUACAAAACAAGUACAAACCUCCAUAGGAUGACUAAAAGAAGCAUCACCUCAGCAAAGAUCAGCACCUUCAAAGCAAUUCGUUCAUUCAAUAUCAAUGUAGUUUGGAAGUACAAAGUUAGUUUCCACUAUCCAGUUAGGAUAGUCACUUGCAGCACAAAUACAGGAUCCAAUUUUGUUCCUUGGUAGCUAUGAAAUAUGUUGCUAGAUGUAUUUCCCAAAGUUUUAUAAAUGUGAAUACUAUUAAGUUCUUCA